rnacentral:rRNA from 1 species
GUAUCCGGAUUUAUUGGGUUUAAGGGUCCGUAGGCGGGCCGAUAAGUCAGUGGCGAAAUCCCGCAGCUUAACUGUGAAACUGCCAUUGAUACUGUCGGUCUGAGUAAAUUGAAGUGGCUGGAAUAAGUAGUGUAGCGGUGAAAUGCAUAGAUAUUACUUAGAACACCAAUUGCGAAGGCAGGUCACUAAGAUUUAACUGACGCUGAGGGACGAAAGCGUGGGGAGCGAACAGGAUUAGAUACCCUGGUAGUCCACGCCGUAAACGAUGCUAACUCGUUUUUGGAUUUUCGGAUUCAGAGACCAAGCGAAAGUGAUAAGUUAGCCACCUGGGGAGUACGAUCGCAAGAUUGAAACUCAAAGGAAUUGACGGGGGCCCGCACAAGCGGUGGAUUAUGUGGUUUAAUUCGAUGAUACGCGAGGAACCUUACCAAGACUUAAAUGGGAAUUGACAGAUUUAGAAAUAGAUCCUCCUUCGGGCAAUUUUCAAGGUGCUGCAUGGUUGUCGUCAGCUCGUGCCGUGAGGUGUUAGGUUAAGUCCUGCAACGAGCGCAACCCCUGUCACUAGUUGCUAACAUUAAGUUGAGGACUCUAGUGAGACUGCCUACGCAAGUAGAGAGGAAGGUGGGGAUGACGUCAAAUCAUCACGGCCCUUACGUCUUGGGCCACACACGUAAUACAAUGGCCGGUACAGAGGGCAGCUACACAGCGAUGUGAUGCAAAUCUCGAAAGCCGGUCUCAGUUCGGAUUGGAGUCUGCAACUCGACUCUAUGAAGCUGGAAUCGCUAGUAAUCGCGCAUCAGCCAUGGCGCGGUGAAUACGUUCCCGGGCCGUGCACACACCGCCCGUC